GACGAACGCUGGCGGCGUGCUUAACACAUGCAAGUCGAACGGAAAGGCCCCUUCGGGGGUCCUCGGGUGGCGAACAGGUGAGUAACACGUGAGUAACCUGCCCUUGACUUCGGGAUAACUUCAGGAAACUGGGGCUAAUACCGGAUAGGAAUCCUUGCUGCAUGGUGGGGGUUGGAAAGCUUCGGCGGUUUUGGAUGGACUCGCGGCUUAUCAGCUUGUUGGUGGGGUAGUGGCUUACCAAGGCUUUGACGGGUAGCCGGCCUGAGAGGGCGACCGGCCACAUUGGGACUGAGAUACGGCCCAGACUCCUACGGGAGGCAGCAGUGGGGAAUAUUGCACAAUGGGCGGAAGCCUGAUGCAGCAACGCCGCGUGCGGGAUGACGGCCUUCGGGUUGUAAACCGCUUUCAGCAGGGGCGAAGCUUGUGGUGACGGUACCUGCAGAAGAAGCACCGGCUAACUACGUG
rnacentral:rRNA from 1 species